rnacentral:lncRNA from 1 species
AAACGUCUUUUACACGUAUAUAAAACACUACGCUUUACAAACAUAAACCCUUCGCUUUGAUUGGUCUAAGAAAAUUUGGGUAAAGAGGAUGUUUACGAUGCUGACGCAUUGCAUCAUAACUAUAAGUAAGCAAAUCGUCAAAGAAACGACACAGGGUGAGUGUUUUGUUCAUAUUAUAUUUUCUGGAGUUUGUAUUAUUUGUGCAAUUAUUGUGUUUCUACUAGCAGUUCUUCGUUUGCCAAUAAAGGUUUUGAAAAUUUAAUAAAAGAGGACUCGACCGUCAAACAAUAUAUGGUACGUCGAUUAGCUGCUUUGGGAGGAUCCAAGGUUGAGGCAAUAACAAGACGUAUUAUGAAAUUUCUACUUACUAAUGAGGUAGGGAACCAAUUUAAUUGGAAGGGUCGCCAUAACAAAGUUAGUUUUGAAACCACUGCCAGUAUGGCUAUUGUUUACGAGGCCGCCAGGCUUAAUUUUCCUAUGGCCGAAAAAAACGAUUUAAAGGUAGCAUGGGGCGUAAAGGAGUGGCUAAAGCAUUCAGCCACGCGCAUAAAACAUGGUGAAAGGAUUUAAAUAUUUGCUUCAUCUAUAGGUUACGACGUUUCUGUAAAUGUACAUGUUAUAAACCUUCUUUUUUCUUAAAAAUUAGUUCAGUUGCGUUUAGUCUUAAACAUUGAUUGAGUUAU